rnacentral:lncRNA from 1 species
AGACAUUGCACCACAUCGUUCUCUAGUUUUGCUAGCUUGGAUGAAUCGAUUGCCUUCUGCGAAAUCGCAUUGACAAAUGCGCAUAACUUUACGAGUGGCAACCGGACAUUCUCUGGUAGAACACCCCUCAGUGCAACCAGAAACAACUGGGUUAUCAACAUGUGGCAGUCAUGGGCCUUGAGAUUUGUAAACUUCUUUUAUUUCAUAUUUAUUAUUUCCUUUAUAUUCGAGUAGUACCCAGACGAAACCA